UAUCUUAUCCCGUUCAAUCUUGUAUAAUGUGACUGCUGAAAAACAAGUGAUUUAAAAAAAUUCUAGAUAAUUAAUUAUAAUUAAAUAUUAUUUAUUUUUCAGGAACAAAACUGAUAAUUAUAUGAAUCCAAUUCGGCAAUUCCAAAGACGAAGUACUAGAGAAUUUGUUAUACACCAAAAAGAAAGAACAAGACCGGGUGACUGUGGUCGAGUGGUGAGGAGCCGGGGCUGAGACACCAACAUGUUUCAGGUUCGAUCCACCUGCUGCGCGAAACUAAGUCACAAUUAUCCUGGUCACCCAACACGGAUAUGAGCCCAUGCUUUAGGGCCCAUUUGAAUACCCGGAGAGAGGGUCUAUCCGUGGGCUGCACCUCCCCUUGGGGAUUAGUCUGGGCUUCUCCAUGGGCCUGGGAUACCCCCAAGUCAAAAAAAAAAAAAAAAAAAAAAAAAAACAAGAGUGUGACCUUUCUUUGUCAUAUUUUGGAAAAUAAGCGUGGCACAGAAUAAGGCUUGGAGGUCCACUUUGUCUGUCCUUGAUGACGUGUCGUUCAAAGUCAUUCAGGAUAAGGAUUGUGGAGGGCAUACACCCACGCGCCACGGUGGAUUUAUGAUAAAAAUAUUAAUUAGAUGUCACUAAUAACUCUCUGCUCUUAUCUAAAAGUGUUAUUAGUUAUUACCACUCCGUAAUUGGACGAUUAAAUGAUUGUUUAUUACAUUUUUC
rnacentral:lncRNA from 1 species